rnacentral:ncRNA from 3 species
UUCACAGUGGCUAAGUUCCGCAU